CACAAGCGGUGGAGCAUGUGGUUUAAUUCGAAGCAACGCGAAGAACCUUACCAGGCCUUGACAUGCUAGGAACCGGGUGAAAGCCUGGGGUGCCCCGCGAGGGGAGCCCUAGCACAGGUGCUGCAUGGCCGUCGUCAGCUCGUGCCGUGAGGUGUUGGGUUAAGUCCCGCAACGAGCGCAACCCCCGCCGUUAGUUGCCAGCGGUUCGGCCGGGCACUCUAACGGGACUGCCGCGAAAGCGGGAGGAAGGAGGGGACGACGUCUGGUCAGCAUGGCCCUUACGGCCUGGGCGACACACGUGCUACAAUGGCCGGUACAGACGGAGGCGAAGCCGCGAGGCGGAGCAAAUCCGAAAAAGCCGGUCUCAGUUCGGAUUGCAGGCUGCAAUUCGCCUGCAUGAAGUCGGAAUCGCUAGUAAUCGCAGGUCAGCAUACUGCGGUGAAUACGUUCCCGGGCCUU
rnacentral:rRNA from 1 species